rnacentral:lncRNA from 1 species
CCUGACAUAGACUGACCAGGUGAAAGCGAUGAUCCCUUAUUGAUGUCACUUGCUAAAUCCACUUCAAUCAGUGUAGCUGAAGAGAGGAGACAGGUUAAAGAAGGAUUUUUAAGCCUUGAGACAUGGAUUGUGUUUGUGUGACAUUCAGAGGGUGAAUGGGCAAGACGAAAGAUAUGUUCAGUCACUCUUUCCCUCUCUGAGGGUCGAUUCUAUUUGCCAACCUGUUUCAUCGAGGGUGACUCUCUGCAGACGCAGUCUCAGCCUGUUGAUCUUCUACAUCAUCUACAUGAUAGGAAUGAUCCUGGUGUUUGGUGUGGCCCCUUUGGUGGUUAGUCUGUUCAGUGUGUUCAGUCUAAUCAAGCAGCUCAGGAAGUUCUGGAGGCAGUUCCUAAAGUUCAUCAAUAGGAGGAAGAGGAGAAAGGGCAUGUGGUUGCCUCUACCAAACGACCAGCUCCCAAGUACAGCCAAAGUGCACAGACGUCGAGGUCAGAGGUGCCCUAGCAUCUACAGCGGCCCCAUCUCUGUGCUGCACCUGAACCAGACAGAGGACCAAGACACUAAGGAAGAGGCUAGACCAGGACACACAGCUGGAACAAAGACACAACAAGUGACUGGACAGGAAGGGUCUGACAAGGAUGUGAACCAGAAGGGACAUGGCGAUGUCUCUACCUCGAGGAACCCAAAAGCCAGUCUGAAAAGAGACACCAUUCCACAGACAACCAGCCAUCCCAGCAGAAGCAAGAACAGAUGCAGCCGCAGGAACCGAUGAAGUGCAAACAACCACCGCCUGUGCUUCCAUCAAAGGAAUAUUUUUUGGUAUCUUUUUAUUGAGAAGAAACUCACGCAGUUUACUGCAACAAACUUUCUCUUUGUGAUCCUUUUUAUAUGAACAUAUUUAUAUUUUUUGUAUUUACAAGUAUCACAUGUAUUGAUAUCAAAUGAAGUAAAUAAAAUUCACAAAAAUAAUACAUUGUUAAAGAUGCUGUCAAAACAGAAUACAUUUUCAAACACAUCUUGACACUACACAUUUACAACAAGUUAUCUCCCUGGACAUGUAAAUCACGCUCAUACUGUAUGUCAUCCCUUAAACUCUAAACUCUAUGACCUUUCUCUUUUCCUUAGGGGAGGUUGUUCCUAUAAAAUAUAAAUUACUUUACAAAGAC